rnacentral:rRNA from 1 species
AUAAUGGGUCAGCGACUUAUAUUCUGUAGCAAGGUUAACCGAAUAGGGGAGCCGAAGGGAAACCGAGUCUUAACUGGGCGUUAAGUUGCAGGGUAUAGACCCGAAACCCGGUGAUCUAGCCAUGGGCAGGUUGAAGGUUGGGUAACACUAACUGGAGGACCGAACCGACUAAUGUUGAAAAAUUAGCGGAUGACUUGUGGCUGGGGGUGAAAGGCCAAUCAAACCGGGAGAUAGCUGGUUCUCCCCGAAAGCUAUUUAGGUAGCGCCUCGUGAAUUCAUCUCCGGGGGUAGAGCACUGUUUCGGCAAGGGGGUCAUCCCGACUUACCAACCCGAUGCAAACUGCGAAUACCGGAGAAUGUUAUCACGGGAGACACACGGCGGGUGCUAACGUCCGUCGUGAAGAGGGAAACAACCCAGACCGCCAGCUAAGGUCCCAAAGUCAUGGUUAAGUGGGAAACGAUGUGGGAAGGCCCAGACAGCCAGGAUGUUGGCUUAGAAGCAGCCAUCAUUUAAAGAAAGCGUAAUAGCUCACUGGUCGAGUCGGCCUGCGCGGAAGAUGUAACGGGGCUAAACCAUGCACCGAAGCUGCGGCAGCGACGCUGAUGCGUUGUUGGGUAGGGGAGCGUUCUGUAAGCCUGUGAAGGUGUGCUGUGAGGCAUGCUGGAGGUAUCAGAAGUGCGAAUGCUGACAUAAGUAACGAUAAAGCGGGUGAAAAGCCCGCUCGCCGGAAGACCAAGGGUUCCUGUCCAACGUUAAUCGGGGCAGGGUGAGUCGACCCCUAAGGCGAGGCCGAAAGGCGUAGUCGAUGGGAAACAGGUUAAUAUUCCUGUACUUGGUGUUACUGCGAAGGGGGGACGGAGAAGGCUAUGUUGGCCGGGCGACGGUUGUCCCGGUUUAAGCGUGUAGGCUGGUUUUCCAGGCAAAUCCGGAAAAUCAAGGCUGAGGCGUGAUGACGAGGCACUACGGUGCUGAAGCAACAAAUGCCCUGCUUCCAGGAAAAGCCUCUAAGCAUCAGGUAACAUCAAAUCGUACCCCAAACCGACACAGGUGGUCAGGUAGAGAAUACCAAGGCGCUUGAGAGAACUCGGGUGAAGGAACUAGGCAAAAUGGUGCCGUAACUUCGGGAGAAGGCACGCUGAUAUGUAGGUGAAGUCCCUCGCGGAUGGAGCUGAAAUCAGUCGAAGAUACCAGCUGGCUGCAACUGUUUAUUAAAAACACAGCACUGUGCAAACACGAAAGUGGACGUAUACGGUGUGACGCCUGCCCGGUGCCGGAAGGUUAAUUGAUGGGGUCAGCGCAAGCGAAGCUCUUGAUCGAAGCCCCGGUAAACGGCGGCCGUAACUAUAACGGUCCUAAGGUAGCGAAAUUCCUUGUCGGGUAAGUUCCGACCUGCACGAAUGGCGUAAUGAUGGCCAGGCUGUCUCCACCCGAGACUCAGUGAAAUUGAACUCGCUGUGAAGAUGCAGUGUACCCGCGGCAAGACGGAAAGACCCCGUGAACCUUUACUAUAGCUUGACACUGAACAUUGAGCCUUGAUGUGUAGGAUAGGUGGGAGGCUUUGAAGUGUGGACGCCAGUCUGCAUGGAGCCGGCCUUGAAAUACCACCCUUUAAUGUUUGAUGUUCUAACGUUGACCCGUUAUCCGGGUUGCGGACAGUGUCUGGUGGGUAGUUUGACUGGGGCGGUCUCCUCCUAAAGAGUAACGGAGGAGCACGAAGGUUGGCUAAUCCUGGUCGGACAUCAGGAGGUUAGUGCAAUGGCAUAAGCCAGCUUGACUGCGAGCGUGACGGCGCGAGCAGGUGCGAAAGCAGGUCAUAGUGAUCCGGUGGUUCUGAA